rnacentral:rRNA from 1 species
CAGCCGCCGCGGUAAUACGAAGGGGGCUAGCGUUGCUCGGAAUGACUGGGCGUAAAGGGCGCGUAGGCGGAUUGUUUAGUUAGGCGUGAAAUUCCUGGGCUUAACCUGGGGACUGCGCUUAAUACAGGCAGUCUAGAGUGAGGAAGAGGGUUGUGGAAUUCCCAGUGUAGAGGUGAAAUUCGUAGAUAUUGGGAAGAACACCGGUGGCGAAGGCGGCAACCUGGUCCUUGACUGACGCUGAGGCGCGAAAGCGUGGGAGCAAACAGGAUUAGAUACCCCUGUAGUCCCUGUCUCUUAUACA